rnacentral:rRNA from 1 species
ACUCCUACGGGAGGCAGCAGUGAGGAAUAUUGGUCAAUGGACGCAAGUCUGAACCAGCCAUGUCGCGUGCAGGAAGACUGCCCCUAUGGGUUGUAAACUGCUUUUUAUACGGGAAGAAAUAUAGCUACGUGUAGUUAUUUGCCGGUACCGUAUGAAUAAGCAUCGGCUAACUCCGUGCCAGCAGCCGCGGUAAUACGGAGGAUGCGAGCGUUAUCCGGAUUCAUUGGGUUUAAAGGGUGCGUAGGCGGAAGUAUAAGUCAGGGGUGAAAGUUUGUGGCUCAACCAUAAAAUUGCCUUUGAUACUGUAUUUCUUGAGUACAUUUGAGGUAGGCGGAAUGUGUUGUGUAGCGGUGAAAUGCUUAGAUAUAACACAGAACACCGAUUGCGAAGGCAGCUUAC